UAAGCGACUAAGCGUACACGGUGGAUGCCCUGGCAGUCAGAGGCGAUGAAGGACGUGCUAAUCUGCGAUAAGCGUCGGUAAGGUGAUAUGAACCGUUAUAACCGGCGAUUUCCGAAUGGGGAAACCCAGUGUGAUUCGUCACACUAUCAUUAACUGAAUCCAUAGGUUAAUGAGGCGAACCGGGGGAACUGAAACAUCUAAGUACCCCGAGGAAAAGAAAUCAACCGAGAUUCCCCCAGUAGCGGCGAGCGAACGGGGAGCAGCCCAGAGCCUGAAUCAGUGUGUGUGUUAGUGGAAGCGUCUGGAAAGGCGCGCGAUACAGGGUGACAGCCCCGUACACAAAAAUGCACAUGCUGUGAGCUCGAUGAGUAGGGCGGGACACGUGGUAUCCUGUCUGAAUAUGGGGGGACCAUCCUCCAAGGCUAAAUACUCCUGACUGACCGAUAGUGAACCAGUACCGUGAGGGAAAGGCGAAAAGAACCCCGGCGAGGGGAGUGAAAAAGAACCUGAAACCGUGUACGUACAAGCAGUGGGAGCACGCUUAGGCGUGUGACUGCGUACCUUUUGUAUAAUGGGUCAGCGACUUAUAUUCUGUAGCAAGGUUAACCGAAUAGGGGAGCCGAAGGGAAACCGAGUCUUAACUGGGCGUUAAGUUGCAGGGUAUAGACCCGAAACCCGGUGAUCUAGCCAUGGGCAGGUUGAAGGUUGGGUAACACUAACUGGAGGACCGAACCGACUAAUGUUGAAAAAUUAGCGGAUGACUUGUGGCUGGGGGUGAAAGGCCAAUCAAACCGGGAGAUAGCUGGUUCUCCCCGAAAGCUAUUUAGGUAGCGCCUCGUGAAUUCAUCUCCGGGGGUAGAGCACUGUUUCGGCAAGGGGGUCAUCCCGACUUACCAACCCGAUGCAAACUGCGAAUACCGGAGAAUGUUAUCACGGGAGACACACGGCGGGUGCUAACGUCCGUCGUGAAGAGGGAAACAACCCAGACCGCCAGCUAAGGUCCCAAAGUCAUGGUUAAGUGGGAAACGAUGUGGGAAGGCCCAGACAGCCAGGAUGUUGGCUUAGAAGCAGCCAUCAUUUAAAGAAAGCGUAAUAGCUCACUGGUCGAGUCGGCCUGCGCGGAAGAUGUAACGGGGCUAAACCAUGCACCGAAGCUGCGGCAGCGACGCUGAUGCGUUGUUGGGUAGGGGAGCGUUCUGUAAGCCUGCGAAGGUGUGCUGUGAGGCAUGCUGGAGGUAUCAGAAGUGCGAAUGCUGACAUAAGUAACGAUAAAGCGGGUGAAAAGCCCGCUCGCCGGAAGACCAAGGGUUCCUGUCCAACGUUAAUCGGGGCAGGGUGAGUCGACCCCUAAGGCGAGGCCGAAAGGCGUAGUCGAUGGGAAACAGGUUAAUAUUCCUGUACUUGGUGUUACUGCGAAGGGGGGACAGAGAAGGCUAUGUUGGCCGGGCGACGGUUGUCCCGGUUUAAGCGUGUAGGCUGGUUUUCCAGGCAAAUCCGGAAAAUCAAGGCUGAGGCGUGAUGACGAGGCACUACGGUGCUGAAGCAACAAAUGCCCUGCUUCCAGGAAAAGCCUCUAAGCAUCAGGUAACAUCAAAUCGUACCCCAAACCGACACAGGUGGUCAGGUAGAGAAUACCAAGGCGCUUGAGAGAACUCGGGUGAAGGAACUAGGCAAAAUGGUGCCGUAACUUCGGGAGAAGGCACGCUGAUAUGUAGGUGAAGCGACUUGCUCGUGGAGCUGAAAUCAGUCGAAGAUACCAGCUGGCUGCAACUGUUUAUUAAAAACACAGCACUGUGCAAACACGAAAGUGGACGUAUACGGUGUGACGCCUGCCCGGUGCCGGAAGGUUAAUUGAUGGGGUCAGCGCAAGCGAAGCUCUUGAUCGAAGCCCCGGUAAACGGCGGCCGUAACUAUAACGGUCCUAAGGUAGCGAAAUUCCUUGUCGGGUAAGUUCCGACCUGCACGAAUGGCGUAAUGAUGGCCAGGCUGUCUCCACCCGAGACUCAGUGAAAUUGAACUCGCUGUGAAGAUGCAGUGUACCCGCGGCAAGACGGAAAGACCCCGUGAACCUUUACUAUAGCUUGACACUGAACAUUGAGCCUUGAUGUGUAGGAUAGGUGGGAGGCUUUGAAGUGUGGACGCCAGUCUGCAUGGAGCCGACCUUGAAAUACCACCCUUUAAUGUUUGAUGUUCUAACGUUGACCCGUAAUCCGGGUUGCGGACAGUGUCUGGUGGGUAGUUUGACUGGGGCGGUCUCCUCCUAAAGAGUAACGGAGGAGCACGAAGGUUGGCUAAUCCUGGUCGGACAUCAGGAGGUUAGUGCAAUGGCAUAAGCCAGCUUGACUGCGAGCGUGACGGCGCGAGCAGGUGCGAAAGCAGGUCAUAGUGAUCCGGUGGUUCUGAAUGGAAGGGCCAUCGCUCAACGGAUAAAAGGUACUCCGGGGAUAACAGGCUGAUACCGCCCAAGAGUUCAUAUCGACGGCGGUGUUUGGCACCUCGAUGUCGGCUCAUCACAUCCUGGGGCUGAAGUAGGUCCCAAGGGUAUGGCUGUUCGCCAUUUAAAGUGGUACGCGAGCUGGGUUUAGAACGUCGUGAGACAGUUCGGUCCCUAUCUGCCGUGGGCGCUGGAGAAUUGAGGGGGGCUGCUCCUAGUACGAGAGGACCGGAGUGGACGCAUCACUGGUGUUCGGGUUGUCAUGCCAAUGGCACUGCCCGGUAGCUAAAUGCGGAAGAGAUAAGUGCUGAAAGCAUCUAAGCACGAAACUUGCCCCGAGAUGAGUUCUCCCUGACUUCUUGAGAGUCCUGAAGGAACGUUGAAGACGACGACGUUGAUAGGCCGGGUGUGUAAGCGCAGCGAUGCGUUGAGCUAACCGGUACUAAUGAACCGUGAGGCUUAACCU
rnacentral:rRNA from 1 species